GAAGAAUUCCUGAGUGUGCUGCAGAGUCGCCCAGGCACUCGCUGGCUGAGGAAGAGUAACUAAUAAAUAAAUGACAGUCUCAGAGGCCUUGUCUUCUGCUGUGUGACAACCCCAACAGCUAAGUCCAGCACUCAAGUCACAGGCCUUGAUAGAGGCAGGCAGAUACUGAGAGGCUGAAAUGUUUGCUCAGUUUCCUAGCAUUUGUCACCCCAGGUGCUGGCCAUCCGUGGGCCACCAGGGAAGGCCUCCUUCAGCUUCAUGCAGAUUGCCACAGUGAGGGGAUGUUUCCCAAGGAGACCAGAGAGGGAGCCCAUUGCCUAGCAUGAUCUGCCUCUUGAGUCUACAUGGAAGAGCAGAUGCCAAGGUCAGAAUUGUCUUUCAAGUGGCUUCCCAGGAUCUCCUGAGAUUAUACAUAGGGUUCUCUGGGCAGUGAGAGCGGUCUCUGUUUUCCUUAUUUGGAACAGGCUUUCUCAUCUAGCCCAGGCUGCCCUCGAACUCUCUAUAGAGACAAAGUUGAUCUUGAACUUAUGAUUUUCCCAUAUUGGGCUCUUCAAUGCGGAAAUUACAAUGUGUAUGUGUGUGUGUGUGUGUGUGUGUGUGUGCGUGCACUUGCACCACCAUGCAAGCCCUUCUAGCAACUCUUGUUGCUGUCCUUGAAGCCCACAGUCAACUGCUUUUCCUCAUGAGAGAAAUGGUAAUGUCACUUCUAGAAGUCCCCCAACAAACACUCCUAUACAAUUCUGGGGUCUCUUGAGAGGGCCAUCCUCACCAGUAGCCACACACCCAAGUAUUUGGGCCCUGUGGGUCUUAAUUUACUUCCUGAUCAGGUGCGGAGGGGGACAGGGUGAGUGCACGUGGUAGUCUUCCUUAAUGUUAAAGUCCUCCUAGGCUUGUUUUCACAUCGGGGCUGGUCACCCUACUCUAUGGACUAUAUUCUGAGCCACAGCCUGCCUGGUACUCAGCAGGACACCCAGUGUGGAAGAUGGAUCAGUGUCAGAGAGAAUGAGUGGAAAAGCAUAGGUUCUCGCUGAUAAAUACAGCCAAAGAACGUACAUUCAAACAAUCAAGUGCUCAUAAACUGUCGAUUACAAGUGAAGAUGGCUGUCAAACACCUCCAACACAUGCCCGCAGAGACAGACACAUCCCUUCAACAACCAGGCUUUUCUUCCUGCUAUAAAAUCCCAGUGGCUGACAUCUCCUCUAAGGGUCUAACUCUCCACCUGAACCUAGCAUUUGACCGUUUGUCCAUUCGCUGUUUUCCAUGCACCUGCUACAUGUUGGGCAUUUCUUUUCUCUAGUUGCCAGAGAUUCACUAGUGAAUAAGAGCAAUAAGAUUGGGCUCCGUGCAGGCAGGGAAGACGGGCACUUAGGAAAAUGAACGAAUAGAUAUUUGCACAGGAGCUGAGCUCAUCUACUACACAUAGGAAUAUGGAGAAAAGAGAGGCAGGAAAAGGCUGAUCGAGCACGUGGUGCUGGACUAAAGUGCGAGAGGUUAUCGGGUGAGCCGUGUCGAUAACAGGAGAAGAUAAUGCACUCAGUGCACGUGCAGAUGUAGGAGCUUGGUUGCUGUGUUGCAGGCACAGAGAGGAGUGCCUGGAGAUCAGCAAGCCAUCACCAGGGAAGUGAGAGCUGUGAGGCAGGAAGAUGGGGCAGGCCAGUCAGGGACGUAUAGGACUUCUUUUGUGCUCUGAGACAGUGGGAAGCCGUCCCUGCAGGAUUUUGAGAAGUGAUUGACUACAUUUUAAUUUUUAUCAGACUUACCAGUGAUGAGCCUGAACACAUUAGAGGGCAGAUGGUUUGAUCUGGGCUGUUGCAGUGGAGCCAGUGAGACAAGGGCAGAUCGCAUCCUUAGGGAAAGCAGCGCCAACUCGAGAGGUCGGAUGUAGGAUGUGCGAGGAUGGGCAGCAAGGAUGAUGCCAAGGCUGUGAGUUUGAGGUGAUGUAGGGAAGGAAGGCAGUCCAGCCAGCAUGCCAGCACGUGGGUCCCACUGUCUGGACUGCUGCUGAAGGACAGGCAUGCACACGUAGUCAGAGUCGGGGGCUCUGAUUGACUUCCUAUCAGUGGAGUGGCUCCUGUUUCCUCCCCAGUGUUCAGAGCAGGUGCAUCAGAGUCUGAGCACUUGACAGCUCCACCCCCUUUUCUCCAGAAAGCCAGUGGGAGGGGGGCAGCUGUUGUCACCAUGCCCAUCUGUCAUCCUGACCCUAGACCUGAGAUGGGAUACAUUUGAGUUCUCAUGAGUCAUUCCCUGUCUCUCACUCUCCUCCUCCACACAGCCUCCCUCUCAGCUCUUCACGCCUCUCCUCACGUUUCUCUCUCUUCUAUCAGACUUACAGUCCGGUGAGCCUGCUUUUCAGCCAAGUGGUGGAACACACCCAAGAGAAGUAACCGGAGAGCCCCAGAAGCACUGUGGGUGCAGGGAGCUUAUGCCAAGUCUGUGGUCAUAGGACAGCAUGGGUCAUGCGCCAUUGCGAGGGGUGAUUUCUAUCUGUUUCCAGGGCAGGUAAAUGAUGCAACAAGAGAGUCCUGGGUGACUUGAGAGGUUCCUGGGAUGAGGUGAGAUCUCAGUUCUGGUCAUCCGAUCAAGUUCCUAGUAGCUUUAUCGUUUGGUAGAGGCAAAAAGCUGUAGGAUGAGCAUCUGAACACGUGGCACCAACUCUGCGUGACAUGUACCAAGCCUCCUCAUGUCCUCUCUCUGCCAUGAGCCCACCUAAAAAAUGGGCAACAUGACCUGUGACCCCCCCCCCCAGUGUCUCUUCUUGAUUCAUAGCUCUGAGGCUUGGGCCACCAGGAUGAGCUCAUUUGCAGGCAUAGACACACGAUGGGAAACAGGCGCCGUCUCUUGCCUAGGGAGAGCCACACUGGUUCAGCUCUUGUUAAGAUUCUGCAUUUAGCAGCUGGCAUUUAUAAUAACCAGAUGACUUUGGUUAGCAUUCAGAUGCGGCUUUAUAGACUGCUGAUGACACAGGGCUUUUGUGAUGAUUAAAACGGGUUAGU
rnacentral:lncRNA from 1 species